rnacentral:rRNA from 1 species
UACGUAGGGUGCAAGCGUUGUCCGGAAUUAUUGGGCGUAAAGAGCUCGUAGGCGGUCUGUCACGUCGGCUGUGAAAACCCGAGGCUCAACCUCGGGCCUGCAGUCGAUACGGGCAAACUAGAGUACUGCAGGGGAGACUGGAAUUCCUGGUGUAGCGGUGAAAUGCGCAGAUAUCAGGAGGAACACCGGUGGCGAAGGCGGGUCUCUGGGCAGUAACUGACGCUGGAGGAGCGAAAGCGUGGGGAGCGAAACAGGA